rnacentral:rRNA from 1 species
UACGUAGGGCGCAAGCGUUGUCCGGAAUUAUUGGGCGUAAAGAGCUCGUAGGCGGCUUGUCACGUCGGUUGUGAAAGCCCGGGGCUUAACCCCGGGUCUGCAGUCGAUACGGGCAGGCUAGAGUUCGGUAGGGGAGAUCGGAAUUCCUGGUGUAGCGGUGGAAAUGACGCAGAUAUCAGGAGGAACACCGGUGGCGAAGGCGGAUCUCUGGGCCGAUACUGACGCUGAGGAGCGAAAGCGUGGGGAGCGAACAGG